CUGCACCACAGAUUGCAGAAAGUUGGCAUUUUUAGGGGCAUUUACAAAAACACCUCUGAAACAUGUUUUUUAGUGGCAACCACCCCUAAAAAUGUUGACAAAGAAACUGCUCCACCAAAAAUGUUAAACUACAUAGAAAGUUAAAGAAUGUCCAUAUUAUGUAUUUAUUUUGCUUGGCAGCUAGUCCAGGGGUUUGUUG
rnacentral:lncRNA from 1 species